rnacentral:rRNA from 1 species
UACGGGAGGGUGCAAGCGUUAUCCGGAUUCACUGGGUUUAAAGGGUGCGUAGGCGGACAGGUAAGUCAGUGGUGAAAUCUCUGGGCUUAACCCAGAAACUGCCGUUGAUACUAUUUGUCUUGAAUAUCCUGGAGGUAGGCGGAAUAUGUCAUGUAGCGGUGAAAUGCUUAGAUAUGACAUAGAACACCGAUAGCGAAGGCAGCUUACUACAGGAUGAUUGACGCUGAGGCACGAAAGCGUGGGGAGCAAACAGG